rnacentral:rRNA from 1 species
GGGUUGUGAGGUUAAGCGACUAAGCGUACACGGUGGAUGCCCUGGCAGUCAGAGGCGAUGAAGGACGUGCUAAUCUGCGAUAAGCGUCGGUAAGGUGAUAUGAACCGUUAUAACCGGCGAUUUCCGAAUGGGGAAACCCAGUGUGAUUCGUCACACUAUCAUUAACUGAAUCCAUAGGUUAAUGAGGCGAACCGGGGGAACUGAAACAUCUAAGUACCCCGAGGAAAAGAAAUCAACCGAGAUUCCCCCAGUAGCGGCGAGCGAACGGGGAGCAGCCCAGAGCCUGAAUCAGUAUGUGUGUUAGUGGAAGCGUCUGGAAAGGCGCGCGAUACAGGGUGACAGCCCCGUACACAAAAAUGCACAUGCUGUGAGCUCGAUGAGUAGGGCGGGACACGUGGUAUCCUGUCUGAAUAUGGGGGGACCAUCCUCCAAGGCUAAAUACUCCUGACUGACCGAUAGUGAACCAGUACCGUGAGGGAAAGGCGAAAAGAACCCCGGCGAGGGGAGUGAAAAAGAACCUGAAACCGUGUACGUACAAGCAGUGGGAGCACAGAGCAAUCUGUGUGACUGCGUACCUUUUGUAUAAUGGGUCAGCGACUUAUAUUCUGUAGCAAGGUUAACCGAAUAGGGGAGCCGAAGGGAAACCGAGUCUUAACUGGGCGUUAAGUUGCAGGGUAUAGACCCGAAACCCGGUGAUCUAGCCAUGGGCAGGUUGAAGGUUGGGUAACACUAACUGGAGGACCGAACCGACUAAUGUUGAAAAAUUAGCGGAUGACUUGUGGCUGGGGGUGAAAGGCCAAUCAAACCGGGAGAUAGCUGGUUCUCCCCGAAAGCUAUUUAGGUAGCGCCUCGUGAAUUCAUCUCCGGAGGUAGAGCACUGUUUCGGCAAGGGGGUCAUCCCGACUUACCAACCCGAUGCAAACUGCGAAUACCGGAGAAUGUUAUCACGGGAGACACACGGCGGGUGCUAACGUCCGUCGUGAAGAGGGAAACAACCCAGACCGCCAGCUAAGGUCCCAAAGUCAUGGUUAAGUGGGAAACGAUGUGGGAAGGCCCAGACAGCCAGGAUGUUGGCUUAGAAGCAGCCAUCAUUUAAAGAAAGCGUAAUAGCUCACUGGUCGAGUCGGCCUGCGCGGAAGAUGUAACGGGGCUAAACCAUGCACCGAAGCUGCGGCAGCGACGCUUAUGCGUUGUUGGGUAGGGGAGCGUUCUGUAAGCCUGCGAAGGUGUGCUGUGAGGCAUGCUGGAGGUAUCAGAAGUGCGAAUGCUGACAUAAGUAACGAUAAAGCGGGUGAAAAGCCCGCUCGCCGGAAGACCAAGGGUUCCUGUCCAACGUUAAUCGGGGCAGGGUGAGUCGACCCCUAAGGCGAGGCCGAAAGGCGUAGUCGAUGGGAAACAGGUUAAUAUUCCUGUACUUGGUGUUACUGCGAAGGGGGGACGGAGAAGGCUAUGUUGGCCGGGCGACGGUUGUCCCGGUUUAAGCGUGUAGGCUGGUUUUCCAGGCAAAUCCGGAAAAUCAAGGCUGAGGCGUGAUGACGAGGCACUACGGUGCUGAAGCAACAAAUGCCCUGCUUCCAGGAAAAGCCUCUAAGCAUCAGGUAACAUCAAAUCGUACCCCAAACCGACACAGGUGGUCAGGUAGAGAAUACCAAGGCGCUUGAGAGAACUCGGGUGAAGGAACUAGGCAAAAUGGUGCCGUAACUUCGGGAGA